CAGCCGCCGCGGUAAUACCGGCGGCCCGAGUGGCGGUCACUAUUAUUGGGCUUAAAGCGUCCGUAGCCGGGUUGGGAAGUCCUCCGGGAAAUCUGGCCGCUUAACGGUCAGAAUGCCGGAGGAUACUCCCAGCCUAGGGGGCGGGAGAGGCCGAGGGGAUUCCCGGGGUAGGGGUGGAAUCCUAUAAUCCCGGGAGGACCACCUGUGGCGAAGGCGCUCGGCUGGAACGGGUCCGACGGUGAGGGACGAAGGCCAGGGGAGCAAACCGGAUUAGAUACCCGGGUAGUCCUGGCUGUAAACGAUGCGGACUUUGUGUCGGACAAGCUAUGAGCUUGUCCGGUGCCGGAGGGAAACCGUUAAGUCCGCCGCCUGGGGAGUACGGCCGCAAGGCUGAAACUUAAAGGAAUUGGCGGG
rnacentral:rRNA from 1 species